rnacentral:tRNA from 5 species
GCCACUGUAGCUCAGUCGGUAGAGCAACUGAUUCGUAAUCAGUAGGUCCGCGGUUCGAUUCCGCGCAGUGGCUCCA